CCAGACAGCCGGGCAGCCGCUGGUAGUGGGGUAACCUGCUGCUGGAGGAAAGUCCGGGCUCCAUGGAGACAAGGCGGCGGAUAAUGUCCGCCCGGUGCGAGCCGAGGGAAAGUGCCACAGAGAGCAGACCGCUUCGGGCCUGGCCCGGAGUAAGGGUGAAAGGGUGGGGUAAGAGCCCACCGCGGGGGCGGCAACGUCCCUGGCAUGGUAAACCCCGCCUGGAGCAAGACCAAAUAGGGGGUGCGCAUGGGCCGUUUCCAGCCUGCGCCCCGGGUGUGUCGCGUGAGGGUCCUGGCGACAGGGCUCCCAGAGGAAUGGUUGCCGAACCCUGAAAAUGGGGGAACAGAACCCGGCUUACAGGCUGUCUGGUCAG
rnacentral:RNase_P_RNA from 1 species